UACGUAGGGGGCAAGCGUUGUCCGGAUUUAUUGGGCGUAAAGAGCGUGUAGGCGGCUUUACAGGUCCGUUGUGAAAACUCGAGGCUCAACCUCGAGACGCCGGUGGAAACCGUAAAGCUAGAGUCCGGAAGAGGAGAGUGGAAUUCCUGGUGUAGCGGUGAAAUGCGCAGAUAUCAGGAAGAACACCCGUGGCGAAGGCGGCUCUCUGGGACGGUACUGACGCUGAGACGCGAAAGCGUGGGGAGCGAACAAG
rnacentral:rRNA from 1 species